rnacentral:rRNA from 1 species
UGAGGAAUAUUGGUCAAUGGGCGAGAGCCUGAACCAGCCAAGUAGCGUGCAGGAUGACGGCCCUAUGGGUUGUAAACUGCUUUUAUGUGGGGAUAAAGUGCGUGACGUGUCAUGCAUUGCAGGUACCACAUGAAUAAGGACCGGCUAAUUCCGUGCCAGCAGCCGCGGUAAUACGGAAGGUCCGGGCGUUAUCCGGAUUUAUUGGGUUUAAAGGGAGCGUAGGCUGUCUAUUAAGCGUGUUGUGAAAUAUACCGGCUCAAUCGGUGGCUUGCAGCGCGAACUGGUCGACUUGAGUAUGCAGGAAGUAGGCGGAAUUCAUGGUGUAGCGGUGAAAUGCUUAGAUAUCAUGACGAACUCCGAUUGCGCAGGCAGCUUACUGUAGCAUAACUGACGCUGAUGCUCGAAAGUGCGGGUAUCAAACAGG